GCAAGCCAGGGGGUGAGGAGGGGACAGAGAACAGUCCCAGCUUCUUCCCAACACACUGAUGCCCCUGCUUCAUUAUAAGAAGCCUGUGCUAAUGACAGCAACGUUCGAAAUCAACAGCCAACAAACUGAACACCUAGAAAUUCAGGGCUGCUUCCAGAUAAUGUAAGGGAGCUAACGAGUCAUGCUGAGGGAGGGAAAGAAAGAAGGCAGCCUAAACCCAAAGAGUAUCCGCCCUAAAACUUCUGCCAUCCUAGAACAUUGUUUUGAAUUCAUUUUAAUUAGCAUACGAGAUAACAGGUGUCACUACCCCAUUUUCACACUUAAAUGAUCUCGUGCUUUGCUCGUACGGGGAUUAUAUUGGUAAAUGCUAAAUGAGCUCGUGGUCUUCAAGUUUUCAAAGAUGGCUGUACCAAUGAUUACUUUUCUGUUGCUAUGACAACACAUCUGGGAAGAGACUACUUAAGGAAGUGAGAGUUUAAGGAGGCACAGAGAGGAUCACAUGGCAUCGACAGUCAGGAAGCAGAGAGAGAUUAAGGAAGAUACUCAGCUUCUUCUCUUCUUUAGUCUGGGUCCUCACCGCAAGGGAUGGUUCCACCCACUUGUAGGGAGGAUGUUCCCUGCUCAGUUAAACCUCUCUGGAAUCUGUCUCACAGACAUAGCCAAAGGUGUGUGUGGUUUGCAUAUGCUUGGCCCAGGGUGUGGCACUACUGGAAGGAGUGGGUCCUGUAUGACCUUGGAGUAGGUGUGGCCUUGUUGAAGUGGGUGUGGCCUUGUUGGAAUAGGUGUGGCCUUGUUGAAGUAAGAAUGUCGCUGUGGGUGUGGGCUUAAAGACCCUCAUCCUAGCUGCCUAGACAUCAAUCUUCCACCAGCAGUCUUCAGAUGAAAAUACAGAACUCUCAGCUCUGCCCGAAUCAUGCAUGCCUAGAUGCGGCCAUGUUCCCACCUUGAUGAUGAUGGACUGAACCUCUGAACCUGACACUGGGGCCUCCAUCACACUUCUGGAAGCUGAGGGGGUGAGAUGUGCUGAGUCACAGCCUCAAGUCACGCUGUGAAAGGAGAAGUCAGCCCCUCCCUGCCUGCCCCUGGAAUCCAUGCCCCCACACCAGCUGGGGACAAAAGGGUCGGGACGUCGGACAAGCUGCACGUUCACAACUGAACUUAGAAAGAAGAGGGUGAAGGAGAGGAUGAAGGCACUUCACUUUUGUAAAGCACUUUGCAAAUGACAGUAUAAGGACUGACUUCAAAAGGUUAUAUGGGAUUUAUUUGGUUGUCUUAUUUUUUUAAGGAAAAAUAAAAAGGGUGUUUGAGGGACAAAAGGAAACCACAGAGAGAAAAAGGACCCAGUGUGGAGGACGACCCAAAGUUCAGAUGGUUCCUGCAAGAUCGUGAGAGAUUUGGCCAAUCUCUUUCCCAAGUAAAUGCUGGUUAUUUUGGAUGACAGAGCAGCGUUCAUUUAACACCUCCCGUGGCUGUUUGAGGUUGUUUGUCCUGAAUGGUUCUAUAAAGAGAGAAUUAUUCUUAAUCAGGAUUCAUCACCUACAGGUUCCAAAGCUGAGAGUUAACCUAAUCCUGCCUGAGAAAAAGCUGACGUCUGCUCUUUCAAGUUUACCUUUUUGACUGCAAACUUAAAUUUGACUGACAAAGCCAAGGGCGAUGAUGGCCCAUGCCUCUGCUCGGCACUCAGGAGGCAGAGGAAGGAGGGUCACCACAAGUUCAAGGUCAAUCUUGUGUACAUAACAUGUUCUAGGCCAGCCAGGGCUACACAGCCAAACACUCUCAAAACGGACAAAAACAAACUUAUACAGCCAAGUGAGGUCGUGGAGUCUUUCAGGGGUCUGGAGAAUGGCUUGGCUGGCAUUAGUGGAUAAAGUGGUUGCUAGGCAAGCAUGAAGUUGAAUCGCCAAGAAGGUUGGGAGAGAGCACACACCUGUAAGCCCAGCCCUGGGAAGGGGAGACAGGAAGAUUCCUGAGACUGGACGGCCAACCAGUAUAACCUAACCAGCGAGCUUCAGAUUUAGUGAGAGACCUUGUCUCAAAAAUUGAGGUGCAGAGCAAGCGUUAACCUUUGACCUCUACUCCGGUGCACACAGGCACAGGCACGCGUACCCAUACAUACAGGUAUGAUUGCUUGCCAAUACAGAAGAGAAAGUGUUAGAGCUGCUUGUUUUGAUCACAUGCAGUAUGUGUGUGUGUGUGUGUGUGUGUGUGUGUGUGUGUGUGUGUUUCUGCAUGUGUUGGGUAGUAGAACUAAAGGUUUCACUCCAGCUUAACCACCUGUUGAAAUUAGUAUUUGAAGUCAGUUCACGGACAAAGAGACCAUGGAAGGAGCAAAACAUCUAUCCCUCAAGCAUGAUCUGAACACUACAUGGCUGGAGUCAGUACACCGAGGUUCAAAAGUUGGUUUAUGGGCUCCUGGGUGGCCAGCCUUGUACUCAACUCUAGACAUUCCUGUGGCAAUGCCAUCCAGGAUCAUUGCUUAAAAUUUCCUAAGUUGUUCGAGCCUACUCAAGGAUCUUAUUUCUGAGAGAGGAAAAAAAAAAAAAAACAAAAAACGCCACAAACAGCAGUUCAAUUUUUCUCUCCUAAGUAGGGAGAUGAGUUGUAAAAUACCUCAAAUCCUCCUGGGUUUGGAGGAUCGUUUGCUUUUUCUCGUUUACAAGCAAAGUUUCCUUCCUAAGCACCCAUCUCUCUCAGGGGCACACACUGCUUUUGAGGAGAACUUCUUCCUUUGAUCUUGGUACUCUGUUUAUCCCUUGUACAAUGGACCUCUAGGACUCAAUAGGCCAUCAGCAGGCUGCUAGGACUGCCAUCCCUUCAAGAAGAUACCAUCCUGCGUGGUAGGAAGACCUAGGAGGUAGGGAACAGGGAAGGAAAUGUGUGGCUCCCAAGUUCAUAGGAGGCUCGUCACCUCAGGAUCUUUACUGGUGGCUGAGAAGGCUGUGGUCUCCGGAAUUCGACCCUUGCUCCUUCCUACUGCAAGGGUCCCAGGUCCUCCCGGCCAGCCCUCCAGCAGUAGCUCAUUGCCCUACAACUUGAGAAUCCAUCAGAACAGCCAGGGAACUGGCGUUCUUAAUGACAGUCACAUGAGAACCCAUCUCCACACUCUGAGGAUUCCCAUUUGGACGAAGCCCAGACCGGAAGCACUUUUUGAGUCCCAGUUUACUCUGAGUUCAUUUGCUAUUGGGGUGCCUAACUGACCAGCCAUUGGAGUGUAGACCAUGAGACCAUAGUGUAUCCCCCUGAGUGGGAAGAGAACGUCAAACAGGACAGGCAAGGGCCCUGCAAUCCUGACUCUUGGUUUUUAAGUCUUCCCAAAGAACCUCUAGGAAGCACUAAGUAACCUCAUGCAUGAGAGAGAAUCUUCCCAGCCUCUUCAGGACCUGAUCUUCAUUUUGUAUACAUACAAAUGCACUGAUGUAUAAGUCAUACUAGCUGUAAUGUUUGCUAUUAUUUAAUAUUUCCUUGUACAGUGUAAUCUUCUCAGGGUUGAGUAGCAGUCACUACAGUAAGUACUUAAAAAUGUGUGUGUGUGUGUGUGUGUGUUGUGUGUGUGUGUAUACAAACACAUAUGGAUAUAUUAAAAAGCCUCUUUUUUCAGGGUAUUUUAUCUCAGCAACAGAAAUUAAACUAUGGCAUGGGGAGAUCAAGAGGGGUGACUACAACCAAAGUACAUUAUAAACGCAUACCCAUCACUAAUUAUAACUAAUAUAUGCUGAUAAAACAUGUAAAGGGGGCUGGAGACAUUGAGUAAGAGGUAAGUGCACUGGUGGUCUUUCAGAGGACCCAGGUUCCAUUUCUACUCCCAAGUAGCAGCUCAUAACUAUCUGUAACUCCAGUUCCAGGGGAUCUGGCACCCUUGGCUGACCUCCACUGGCACUGGACAAGCAUAUGGUACACAGACACACAAGGAGGGAGAAUAUUCAUAUGCUUAAUUUUUGAAUUAAACACUUAAAUUUUUUAAGGAAGUGUCCCUGACAUCUUAGGUGUUAAGCCAUCACAAUGUCUAAAGUAUCAGUCCUAUUACAUACAAAGCAUUGUUUUCUUUUUUUGUUGGACAUAUUUUUUAUUUACAUUUCAAAUGUUAUUUCCUUUCCCAGUUUCCCGUCCAUAAGCCCCCUAUCCCACCUCCCUCCCCUUCUUCUAUACGGGUGUUCCCCUCCGCAUCUGCACCCCCAAUAUUCCCCUACACUGGGGGGGUUCCAGCCUUGGCAGGACCAAGGGUUUCUCCUCCCAUUGGUGCCCUACAAGGCCAUCCUCUGCUACAUAUGCAGCUAGAGCCAUGGGUCAAUCCAUGUAUAGUCUUUGGGUAGUGGUUUAGUCCCUGGGAGCUCUGGUUGGUUGUCAUUGUUAUUCUUAUGGGGUCGCAAGCCCCUUCAGCUCUUUCAGUCCUUUCUCUAAUUCCUCCAACAAGGGUCCUGUUCUCAGUUCAGUGGUUUGCUGCUAGCAUUCGCCUCUGUAUUUGACAUGCUCUGGCUGUGCCUCUCAGGAGACAUCUAUUUCCAGCUCCUGUCAGCAAAAACAUUGUUUUCUGCGGUCUAAAAUUAAUGUAUGCAGCUUUAAAGUACGACCAUUCACUAAUUUUGUUACUAUUUUAAAAAUCAGAUAGUUAGAAGUGAGCGUUCCUUCAUAUACAACUUACACAAACUACAUCUUAACUUUGAACCCAAAAGUUUAUAAACUCGGGACCAGCUCAUUCUCUUUGCCUCAAAAUGUGUGACCCCAUCUGCAAAGCCAUUCUGCAGAGACAGAGAUCUAGAAUUCUCUGUUAGCAUACAGAAAAUUACAUCUUUAACCCAGAGAAGGGUGACCAGGCCUUUGGCUCUGGCUUGCCUCACAUUGGCUUACAGUUGUGCCUAUGUGUGAGAUACGGGAUGCCAGCCUGGGUUUCCUGACUGGCAAUGGAAUCCAAACCUUCACUGGGGCCACUUUUUAUUUUCCUGGUCGAAUUGUGAACUAACUGAUGGAAAGAUAUGCAGCCUCUCUGCUUAGCUCUCUAGCUGCUGAUUUCAAACCCACCCCUGCCAGUUUACAAAUGUACUUUUCAAAUUCAAUCAGAUGUACUCACCCUAAUGGUUGAGAAACCAUUUGGUUGUUGUGGACUAGAUUCCUCCAGUUUGGUGAAAUCCAUUUUGGAAAAUAAACCCCCUGCCCCUUCUACCCACCCUAGCUACUGCUGGAGUCAACAAGUCAGAAAGCCUAGGACGGAAAAGAAACCCGGUCUAAUCUGUUCAACCACACAACAGCUGUGUGAACCUGGCAGAACCAUUUAACCUCUCUAUUGACCCUCAAUUUUCUUACCUGUGACAGGAACAAUAAGGGCUUUAUGAGGUUUCUGGGAGCAUUUAGAAAAUGUAUUUCAGCUAUUAAACCUAUUAUUUUUAAGAACUGGUUUGCUUUUUAGAGAUUUGGGACUCGCGAAAUUAGGUGCAUGAUAGUCUACCAUGGGUUGGCAUGGUAGGCAAGAUCUCUGAAUAGGGCCAAGGUAAAAGGGGUUUCCAGAAAGAACAGAAGGUUUCUUGCUCACCGUGGCACCAUCUUCCCCAUCUCUCUGUCUUUCCUUCUUAUUGGAUAACAGCACUGAGUAGGGUCAAAAUAACUGUCAGCAUUCCCCUGCCUCAUAAGUCACUCCCAAUUCCUCCUCAGCAGCAAGCCUAUCUGAUGCCUUUUUCUUCUCUCGCUUGUACAUCAGCCCAGGACAAACACACUGCCCUGUGGACAAAGGCACAUUACAUAGAUGUGUGGCCUUCAGUCUGCUCUGUGUGGCCUUCAGUGUGCUUUACUCUUCAGGUACAUCUUCUGUGGCCCCAACGUUUCUCCUUAAGGAUAUUCAGGGGCCAUGCACUAGCUUCCUACAACAUAGUCUCCCCAUCUCCGCCCAAGGGAGGAGGCCAAGAAGUAUUACUCUCCCUGUCCUAUUCUGUACAAUGGGAAUGGCAAGCAGAGCAUCCUUUGCGCAGGACAACCGGUCUCCAUCUAUAAAAAAUGACCAAUGCGUGCAUCUCUAGGCUCCAUCCUGCAAAUCUGCUCAGAAGCGUGGGAAAUGCCUUCUGCAAGAGGUUACCUGUGGCAGCACAAUUUGCAAGGGCAGGAGAUUGGGAACAACCCAGAUGUCAUCAACAGGGAAGUAGUUCAGUGAAUUAUGAAAUAUCCGUGCGGGGACAUAGUCGCCAGUUGUUAAAAAAAAAUGAAGACAUCAUUUCUAUGCUGAUUUGGGGCCACCCCUAAGAUAUAUUGUCACGUGGAAGAAAUGAAGUAUUAUAGGACAGGGAGAACAUUAACAGAAUAACACAUCACCGCAUCACUGCAUAGAGGUGUCUAUGAGAUGCACAGAGAAAUGAUAACAGAGGUUCAGGAGAAGAGUAGGCAAGAAGGAAUUUGGAGAUUCUGUAGGGUAGAAUAUAUGUACAUGUAUAAGAACGAUGUAUAGAUAGAUACAUAGACACAUCCACAUGCUGUCUUUUGUCGUCUACUUUUUUAUAUUUAACCACAGGAAGACAUUUCUAUUCAAAAGUAAAUAUUUUAACCACACAUCUCAUCUUUACUUUAAAAUGUUUCUAUGCUGUAUGUGUGCGUGUGUGCACAUGCGUGUGUGCAUGUGUGUGUGCACAUACAUGCAUGCAGCUUCAUAAAGGUGUGAGCGUAUGUGCAGCAAGUGCAGGGGAGGCCAGAAGAGAGUGUCACGCCCCCUGGAGCAACAAUGAUAAGUGGCUGUGAGCUGCCCAAGGUGGUUGCUGGGAAUCUGACUCGUCUUCUCCAAGACAACGAGCCCCUCUGACCACUGAGCAGUAUCUCUGGCCCCUGCAUGUAUUUCUCAAUCUUAAACUUAAAAACUAAAUCCAAGUUUUUAAAAAGGCAUUGCCUAUGUUGUACCUUCCCUAGACGGGGCAGGCACACUGUUCUACCUUCAGCUUCCAUUAGCUUGCACACAGAGAUCCCCAAUCCCCCUGGGAUUCCUUCUGUCUUAGUUCCAUUGUUUGGAGUUCAGGGUCCACCUCUGACCUCCCAGUUCGGCUUUCCUACCUGCUGGAUGUACGGUAUUCUGUACGUCCAUUUCCUGGAGCUGAGUAACCUAUCGUGAAUACUUACUUGUCUGUCCUUUUUUCACCUUGGUAACCAUUCUUCUGUCCUUCUGUUAAUAUGAUUCUCCUGCCUUUCCAAAUUAAGUUCUAUCUGACUCCAAAGAUUAGCUGCUUCCCUUCCUGCCCCCUUCCAUUCCUCCCUCGCUCUUUGUCUCUGUCUUUCUCUGUGCAUAUCUCUGUAUUGCUGUUUCUUUGUGUAUAUGCAUGUACGUGUGUGUGUGUGUGUGUGUGUGUGUGUGUGUAUUCAUAGGGAAAUCCAGUAAAUAUUUGACAAGUGAAAAAGGAACUUAAGGUAACGAAGAGAUAAUGAUACUUCUCUGAGGUAGGAAUUAUGGUAGGAAUAAUACACGAAAGUAAACGUAUUUAAAGUGUGUACUGGUACUGUUAUCGGUAACUGUAGUAAUAUGCAUUUGGCAUAUUUUCUCUCUGCCCUUAGAACGAUGGGCAUGAUGGUCGCUCUCAAGACCUCUCCCUGUUAAAGCUGUGAAGUACCCCCAUCCAAAUGGAGUCUUGCCCAGAAUCUGUCCCAUUGGGAGACACAAUGACACACUGAACUCCGGUUAAAGCUAAUCUCUCUGCAGUUGGAUGCAGGCUGAAGUCUACUUCAUCUCAGACUUGCUGUUAGUCAUCUCAUAAGAAAAUGUCGCUUGAAACAUGGCCAGAUUCCCUAGCUGUUAUCAGGUCAGGAUUUAGGUAACAUACUCUCUUCUGGAAGCUUCAUUUGCAUGUCCCAAAUCAUCCUUGCAAACCAUUUAUCUCCCCACACUAUUGGAUGUUGUAAGCAUUUGGGAAGCAUUCUCAGGGUGUUUGAAAUCAACAAGGCAAUUAGGCAGGUUUUAAAGGAGUCAAAAAUACAAUUGACGGCACUUUGGAAACGUCGAUGAGAUUUUCAGCCUGGCAGACCAUGCCGGCAAUGGAGUGUUUGUGAGGAAAUUUUAACACGAGUUUAAAUAUGCAUCAUUUGGAACUUCGGAAUUGAUUUUCAAACUGAAAAAUGGGCAGAGCAGAGAGCCCCAAAUACUUUGGGAGAAAUAUUCCUCUAGAAAAAAAUAAGUGUAUAUUUGGAGUCGGAAAGAAAUAGAUUUUAAUCCCAGAUGUGUGACAAGAAAACGAGCAAUUUUGGGAAAGUCAAUUAUUCUCUGAGAAUUUGUUUUCUCCCGUUUAGAAAUGAGGUCAGCGCCGCCAUCUUUAAUUAACAUCCACCAGCAUCCAACAAGCUUUCGUGAACCUUCCUUCUCACUCUUCUCCUCUUUGGGGAGCUGCACUGGUUUUGGUUUCAAGAAAACGUCUAUGGUUGCACAUUUGGUAAGCACUUCAGACCGCCUUGGUCAAAGUGCAUUAAGACACACACAUCAAGGCCUGCUUCCCUACACUAAAUAGCAUAAACCUAUCUGCCGCCUCCCUUCUGCCACCAACAGUGACAACGAUGGAAGAGGGCUGAGGACCGCACUCAGGGCUCCACAGGAAAGAUAUGGAGAGAUGGACCCCAACUUUCACAGGGCAUGUCAGGCUUAGAGGUUUCCACAGCGAAGGGCCUGGAUGCUGAGGCAGAAGCAAAGAGAAGGGGAGAUGUAAGCAAAGAAUUGCUUUUAAUUGUACCCAGAGGCAGCACAACUUCAUAGAGGGCUUGCAGCGAGUGGCGGAGGAUUUGAGAAACAGCUGUGUUCCCGGCCCGCGUGCUCCGAGGUGGAACAGCGCCGUCAGCACCUGCACCCGCUGAGCGUACACCCUCACGCCCCACACGCGUGUGCACAGCUGGGACCCAUCCGGCUGAUGCCGCUGUUAAUAAGAGUUCCUGGCAAGAGGUCACCAUACACCCUGGGCACUGUGGAAGUACAGAAAGGGUCGUCCAUGGAAGGAAGACUGCCAUGCUUCUGAUGUGUGGCUACCAGGCCCUGCCUUCAAGGACAUAGUCGUUUAGUGUCUCAGAGAAGCUUGUCACUGUGAGUCACAUUUCCAAGGGUGAUGUGGGGAAGUGGGCGGUGUGCUGACCUCUCUCCUGACCAGUUCCGGUCCUUGCUGGACUGUUUUCUACACGUGUACCUUUGGCAAGUGAUUAUAACCGUUACCUGAUGAGACUGCAGUGGCGACACCAUUUGAACAGCGGGGUCCCUGACCAGCGUUGAUGCUUGCUUGUGUAACUUGCUAACUACAAGGCAGCUACAGAAACUCGAGAGUUGCAAGUGGGGGCCCAGUUCUGAGAGAGCAUCACCUCCAGAAGAUGCUACCACCCCAUCUCCCAAAGCAUGCUUUCCUCCACAAAUGUAUGGAAAUCUCUUUAGAUGGAUGGCAUCUGAUCCAAAUGGCCAGCAAAAGUAUUUAAAACCAUUUAAAUGCUCAAUGGUACGGAAGAGGAUAAGCGGAUGCAUUUCCUCCAAUAAGAACGGCAGCGAAGUCUUUGUAACAACAAGAUGGGAUGUAUGUCAAGAAAAUUUCGACGCAGCAUCCCAGAUGUGUGGAGGUGGGUGAUCGCAGCAGGAGGACAGAAAAAAAGACCGGGAGGCACACACAUGCUAAUCGUGGUUACUUACAGCAGACAGAGUGUUUCUUUCUCUCCCUUUCAAAGAUAAAGACCUCUCUGCUGAACUUACAUAUGUGUUCGCUCUUUUGUUGGCCACUUAAACAAUUCAGAGCCUAUGCGGUCUUUCCUCUGUGACCUCAUCUUUCUCUAUACCAGCUGGAAGUCUCUACCCUGGUCCUUUAAUCCUUGGAGGGUUCUCUUGGUUCAAGGUCCAAGGUAGGACCGGAGGCUAUCCAGGGACCGUCUCCAGGCACAUACCCUUGUGUCAUUUGUUGAUCCCUGGUGAGACUUUACCUUAGUUACUGGCUUGUAUUGAGUCUCUGGACUCUGAAUGUGGAGUAACUGAUGGCCACUGAGGAUUUGGUGUGGUUGCUAAGUAGCUUGAAGGCAAGCUGUGUCUUGCUGGUCACAAAAGCAGUUGUACGGUUUACUUCCUGGCCUCCCUCCGGCCUCUAGCUGAGUGGCUCAUACCCUGAGUGGCCUCCCUUGCUUCAUAGUUGAGGGAUAGUUUCAAGGAAUUAGUACCUCCCUCACCAAUUUCUUACGUGCACCUCUAUGAAUUGUGCUUAUACUGGUGGAGAAAUGACUUGGGGGAAAAAAGGUCUGAUCAAAGAGGACAGCAGCACUGUGCACCAACAGCCCUGGGGACCAAGGAAUAUAAAGAUAAGAAGCUAUUAGGUUUCCAAGGUAGCUGAAUGGGAGUAGAGUAUCUGCCCUGUGGGGACAAGUCCCUUUCCUGAUGGGAGAUACAUGGGUUCAUCAAAGUAGGGUGAAGACCAACAUAUGGCUUUGCUGGGAAGGCAAAUCUCACUCCUGUUGCUGUAAUCCUGCGGGUGGUCUGCCUUCCCUCAAGAUGUGCCUGAUGCUGUCUUUCUCUGAGCACUGCCCUCUGGGUCAUCAAGAAGUAGAGGUAAAGGGAGGCAUUGAGCUAUCUCUCACCUCCGUCCAUGACCUCUCACUGUUUGGUCUGCCGCAAUCCUGCCUGGGGCUGUUGGUUAAUUUGGCAGGAGGGUACAUACCGGGAACUCGUAGUUUAAGAGUUUAUUCUUCUGGGUCAGGUAGCAAAAUCCCACACGGCGAGCGGCUCACACCAGCAGAAAUGGGCUCUUCCGCAGUUCAGAGGUCCCUGAUUUCGGAAUGAAGGUGCUCACAGGGCUGGGCUCCCUCAGAGGCUCUAUAGGAGAAUUCUUCCUGACUCUCGUUCUGCAUCCUUGCCGUUCCUUGGCUUAUGUCAGAGUUACUCUCGUCCAUGUUCACAAACCUGUUCCUGAAUAGUUCACAUGCACAUGGGCUGGGGCCUCUUCCAAUCGCCUUUCCCUUAUGAAAAUCGCCCAUCAUUGGAUAUGUAGGUCACCCUAACUCAGUGUGCCCUCCUCUUGGAUUCUACUGAAUGGAAUUUGGGAAGGGCACACUGUAGUCACAGGAACUAAUGACGGUCCCUGGGGCGCUCACUCCUGGAUACUCUGGCUCCUGUUUUCAGCCAUUUGUCACAAUAUACAUACGCUAAGAAAAGUAUACAUUCCUCCUGAAAUUCCCAUUUGGGGUUUCAACCGAGGGGAGUAGGAACACGUGGUUCACCCCACCAAAGAUUUACUUGCAAAUUGAACACCAGUUGGUGCGGGUGUGGGUUCGAAUCCUGCCUCUGCUGUCUCUAGCCUAGGGACAGAGGGGAUAUCUAAUGAGGUCACAUGCUAUUUGAGCUCAUUGCCAGGCAUAUAUAAAUCACCCAAAAGUACUCACUAUAAUUCCACCUUGAGAAUGCCAUCCAGACCUGCCAGUCACCCCUAAAUGCUGAGACCCAAGCUGGAGUUAACAGCACAAAGGGGACUCUAGGCAUGAGAUACUCCAUGUACCUUACUUGGACACCUUUCUUCUGCCUCCCCCCAGAUGUGUUCCCAUCCCCAUAAAGCUAACCCCUCCUCAGCCUCUAACCUGGCCCUUAUGUCAUUUAUCCCUAAAAAAAUCUUCUUGUCACCAUGGCGAAAGUGCCUUGGUCCAA